rnacentral:rRNA from 1 species
GUGAACGCUGGCGGUAGGCCUAACACCUGCCGGUCGAACGGCAGCACAGUAAGAGCUUGCUCUUACGGGUGGCGAGUGGCGGACGGGUGAGGAAUACAUCGGAAUCUACUUUUUCGUGGGGGAUAACGUAGGGAAACUUACGCUAAUACCGCAUACGACCUACGGGUGAAAGCAGGGGAUCUUCGGACCUUGCGCGAUUGAAUGAGCCGAUGUCGGAUUAGCUAGUUGGCGGGGUAAAGGCCCACCAAGGCGACGAUCCGUAGCUGGUCUGAGAGGAUGAUCAGCCACACUGGAACUGAGACACGGUCCAGACUCCUACGGGAGGCAGCAGUGGGGAAUAUUGGACAAUGGGCGCAAGCCUGAUCCAGCCGUACCGCGUGGGUGAAGAAGGCCUUCGGGUUGUAAAGCCCUUUUGUUGGGAAAGAAAAGCAGCAGGUUGAUACCCCGCUGUUCUGACGGUACCCAAAGAAUAAGCACCGGCUAACUUCGUG